AUUGAACGCUGGCGGCAGGCUUAACACAUGCAAGUCGAACGAGUGGCGGACGGGUGAGUAAUGCUUGGGAAUCUCGCUUAUGGAGGGGGAUAACUACGGGAAACUGUAGCUAAUACCGCGUACCAUAGGAUGAGCCCAAGUGGGAUUAGGUAGUUGGUGAGGUAAAGGCUCACCAAAGCGACGAUCGCUAGCUGGUCUGAGAGGAUGACCAACCACACUGGGGCUGAGACACGGCCCAGACUCCUACGGGAGGCAGCAGAGGGGAAUAUUGCACAAUGGGGGCAAGCUACCGCAGCCAUGCCGCGUGAAUGAAGAAGGCCUUCGGGUUGUAGAAUUCUUUCGGUAGCGAGGCGUUAACUACAGAAGAAGCACCGGCUAACUCCGUGCCAGCAGCCGCGGUAAUUC
rnacentral:rRNA from 1 species